AGCUGUUGCCUAAUCAUAAGUGGGAGUGAUUCCAGCCUCAGUCAGCAGCAUACACCUCCUGGAGCUUGCAUGCUGAGGAACCACUGAUGAGCAAGCUUACCUGAAUCAGAUGAACAGCGGUGCUAUGAGAUUAUGGGUGAUCAGAAAUAAAAACUAAAAAAGAAGUGGCCCAUCACCAUUGCAAGCCAAAACUGUGCAUUAGUCAACUCUGAUGGCACCAUCUGCCUCAGUGGCCUGGAAUCUGGAAGAUCCUUCAUUCUGAGCAACUUGCAAAGAAACAAUCCAUAACACCUAAUCGGAUGAUGGACCUGAACCAAACCGCCAUAUCGGAACAGUGCUGAAUACAAAGCCAAAUUCUGAUCCAAAUAAUGGAGUGAGUCCCUAGCUCCACAGUGGUAUGAACAAAAUAAUUGGAUCCAAACACCCUUGAAUAUUGUGGUGGCUGACAUCUAGAUCCCAAAAUGUUGUGUUUAGUGACCAUGGAGGGAGAAAGAACUUGAGCUUUAAAGAAUCUUGAAGAUGUGUACUACCAGCUGUCUAUCUCUGACUGAGUGAGGAUCUAAUUGCUAUACCUUUUGCCUAUAUUAGGCCUGAUGCAAAGCCCAUCCAAGGAGCAUUCUGUUUGAACAGAGAGUGUGAAUAACAACAUUCUGUAGAGACGAGGUUUCAGUGUCACUGGACUGUUCACCCAACGCCUGUAUUAAAAUUGCUAAUUGUGAGCCCUUCUCUGCUGCUUCAGAGAGCUACACACAGAGGAGCUGGCAUCAGCUGGGGACAGCAAGAUCUUAGGCUCAGGGGUCUAGUGUUCUCCUGUUCUGUAUGCUGACUCACUGUUAGAGCAGGUGAACAUUUUCCCAAGUUUCAGACUUGGAUGAUAAAGUGUCACCAUCAUGACAGUUUGUGACAAUACUAUCCAAAUUUUCAACCAGCCCUACUUGUUCUACAAUCUCAACUAAGUCAUUGUCUGUGCCUUGCUUUAGCCAGCUGUAAAAAGAGGUUAAUACAGUUAUAAUUCAAAGGUGCUUGGUCUAUAUUAGAUAAUAACGGUAUUCUGCACAGAAUGAACUCCAACACCUAAAGCUGAGCUGUUUAUAUUAACAAUUUGAAAGUUAAAAGCAAAGCAAUGGAAUUUGUUAGCCCAGUAUAUGGUUAUUCCUGAGUUAACAGGAAGUACCCUCAAACAGCUAUUACACAAUACUAAUAUUUUUAAUUAAACUUUCCAAAUUAAAAUGAAAGAAAGGGGAAGAACUACAUAACCCAGAAUGGCUCUACAUCUGC